GCCUGGAAAUUGCCCUUUCUAUGCUGCAAUAGCGAAGCCACCUUGCAUUAAGCGGUGUACUACAGAUUAUGAUUGUCCUUCCGUCCAGAAAUGCUGCCCAAAAUUUUGCUCCAUGGUCUGUGAAAACCCAAGUAAGAUGCUGAGCCCCUUGUGGAUGCUUUAUUGUAAUUUAUUGCGCCCCCCCUUUUCCUUCACUAUGGGCUCCCAGUGUGUGUUGCAGUUUGAAACUGCAGUUAAAACAAAUUGCAGUCUCAGGAAUAGAGUUGUUCCCCCAAAAUGUAGAUAUCUAUCAGGUAGGAACAACAUAAUGAGGGUGCCAGACACACCUCUGUGGGAAGGGAGUUCCCCCAACUUAGGGGCUGCCCCAGAGAUGACUUUGUCAGGGUGGAGGAACUGCCAAGAGAGCCCGCCUGCUGAUGUUUACUCCCAAGAGAGUCCGCAAGUAUGGAGAAGCUCUCUCAGAUAGUUGGUGCCUACGUUAUUUAGGGCAUUAGACAUUAAUGCAGGCACCUUGAAUGGAGUCAGGAAAGGAACUAGGUGGGCUGAAGACAGCAGUUCUGCACAAAUUGUCCAAGUUUUGCUCAAGGAGGGAUGCCUGUUGCCUCUGAACUGACAGCUAAGAGAUGGUCCAUAAUUAUGACAUGGGAACAGGGGGAUGGGGCCAAGGCUCUGUCAGUGAGCACCUUGGUCCCAGGCUCCAUCUGGGCAUCUCCAGGUAAGGAAAACCCUUGUCAUCUGCUUAGCUAGGGUGAUGAGCACCGAUCUCUCUAGGGUUCUUGGAUGCCUGAACACUCUUUUAUUCCUGCAGCAAAGUGAUGACAGUGAUGCACAGCCUGAAAUCCCUGCAACUUCUACAGUUUUGGAGAUGUGAACCCAGCACCCAAGGAGUGAAGGCAACGAUAAACCCAGCUCCCUCUUGACCCAAUGGGCCCGAUCCAGCUUCCUUCCCUGCCUGCAAUAAAAUGAUCCCUGUGCCUGCA